GAUGAACGCUGGCGGCGUGCCUAAUACAUGCAAGUCGAGCGAACAGACGAGGAGCUUGCUCCUCUGACGUUAGCGGCGGACGGGUGAGUAACACGUGGAUAACCUACCUAUAAGACUGGGAUAACUUCGGGAAACCGGAGCUAAUACCGGAUAAUAUAUUGAACCGCAUGGUUCAAUAGUGAAAGACGGUUUUGCUGUCACUUAUAGAUGGAUCCGCGCCGCAUUAGCUAGUUGGUAAGGUAACGGCUUACCAAGGCAACGAUGCGUAGCCGACCUGAGAGGGUGAUCGGCCACACUGGAACUGAGACACGGUCCACUCCUACGGGAGGCAGCAGUAGGGAAUCUUCCGCAAUGGGCGAAAGCCUGACGGAGCAACGCCGCGUGAGUGAUGAAGGUCUUCGGAUCGUAAAACUCUGUUAUUAGGGAAGAACAAAUGUGUAAGUAACUAUGCACGUCUUGACGGUACCUAAUCAGAAAGCCACGGCUAACUACGUG
rnacentral:rRNA from 1 species